AAUCAACGCUGGCGGCGUGCCUCAGACAUGCAAGUCGAACGCGAAAGGUUCCUUCGGGGACCGAGUAGAGUGGCGCACGGGUGAGUAACACGUAGGUAAUUUGCCUUUGGGUGGGGAAUAACUCAGGGAAACUUGAGCUAAUACCGCAUAAUGCAGCGGCUCGACAUCGAGACAGUUGUUAAAGCGGGGGAGUUCGCAAGAACCUCGCGCCUAAAGAGAAGCCUGCGGCAGAUAGUCUAGUUGGUAAGGUAAUGGCUUACCAAGGCGACGAUCUGUAACCGGCCUGAGAGGGCGGUCGGUCACACUGACACUGACAUACGGGUCAGACUCCUACGGGAGGCAGCAGUCGGGAA
rnacentral:rRNA from 1 species